rfam:Salmo salar isolate Sally breed double haploid chromosome ssa24, whole genome shotgun sequence.
GUAGGAAUAGUGUGUAAGUCGCUCUGGAUAAGAGCGUCUGCUAAAUGACGUAAA